UACGGAGGAUGCGGGCGUUAUCCGGAUUCAUUGGGUUUAAAGGGUGCGCAGGCGGCGCGUCAAGUCGGCGGUCAAAAUUCCGGGCUCAACCCGGUCUAGCCGUUGAUACUGCCGCGCUGGAGUGCGCAGGAGGGCAGCGGAAUGCGUGGUGUAGCGGUGAAAUGCAUAGAUAUCACGCAGAACCCCGAUUGCGAAGGCAGCUGCCCGCUGCGCCACUGACGCUGAGGCACGAAAGCGUGGGUAUC
rnacentral:rRNA from 1 species